rnacentral:misc_RNA from 1 species
GAUGAAGAACGCAGCGAAAUGCGAUAAGUAAUGUGAAUUGCAGAAUUCAGUGAAUCAUCGAAUCUUUGAACGCACAUUGCGCCCCUUGGUAUUCCGAGGGGCAUGCCUGUUCGAGCGUCAUUAUAACCCCUCAAGCUCAGCUUGGUGUUGGGGCCUGCUGCACUGGAAGCCCUUAAAAUCAGUGGCGGCGCCAUCUGGCUCUAAGCGUAGUAAUUCUUCUCGCUAUGGAGUCCUGGUGGAUGCUUGCCAUCAACCCCCAAUUUUUCUAUGGUUGACCUCGGAUCAGGUAGGGAUACCCGCUGAACUUAAGCAUAUCAAUAAGCGGAGGA